AGUGAACGCUGGCGGCGUGCCUAAUACAUGCAAGUCGAACGGAGUGGAGCAAGUGGGAGUAAUGUAUAGCUAAUAGGCCCUAAACUAGAAGACAACAGGUGGAAACGACUACUAAGACUCUAUAGUGUAGGAUGAGGCUAUAUUGUAUCAGCUAGUUUGUGAGGUAAUGGCUCACCAAGGCUAUGACGCAUAACUGGUCUGAGCGGAUGAUCAUUCACACUGGAACUGAGACACGGUCCAGACUCCUACGGGAGGCCGCAGUAGGGAAUAUUGCUCAAUGGGGGAACCCCUGACGCAUCAUCGCCGCGUGGAGGAUGACACUUUUCGGAGCGUAAACUCCUUUUGUUAGGGAAGCGGUACCUAACGAAUAAGCACCGGCUAACUCCGUGCCAGCAGCCGCGGUAAUAC
rnacentral:rRNA from 1 species